GCCUACGGGGGGCAGCAGUGGGGAAUAUUGGGCAAUGGGCGCAAGCCUGACCCAGCAACGCCGCGUGAAGGAAGAAGGCUUUCGGGUUGUAAACUUCUUUUAAGAGGGAAGAGCAGAAGACGGUACCUCUUGAAUAAGCCACGGCUAACUACGUGCCAGCAGCCGCGGUAAUACGUAGGGGGCAAGCGUUAUCCGGAUUUACUGGGUGUAAAGGGAGCGUAGACGGCAUGGCAAGUCAGAUGUGAAAGCCCGGGGCUCAACCCCGGGACUGCAUUUGAAACUGUCAGGCUGGAGUGCAGGAGAGG
rnacentral:rRNA from 1 species